GCACGAAGACGUUGGUGGUCAGGGCCGUGUCGUCGGAGUUCAGGAAGGCGUCGGUGAUCGGCGUCUUGUCCAACAGGUUCUUGGCG
rnacentral:sRNA from 1 species